rnacentral:rRNA from 1 species
AUACGUAGGUGACAAGCGUUAUCCGGAUUUACUGGGCGUAAAGGGCGUGUAGGAGGCCUUGCAAGUCAGAAGUGAAAUUCCUGAGCUCAACUCGGGCGCUGCUUCUGAAACUGCAGGACUUGAGUGCUGGAGGGGAUAGCGGAAUUCCUAGUGGAGCGGUAAAAUGCGCAGAUAUUAGGAAGAACACCGGUGGCGAAGGCGGCUAUCUGGACAGUAACUGACGCUGAGGCGCGAAAGCGUGGGGAGCAAACAGGAUUAGAUACCCUGGUAGUCCACACUGUAAACGAUGAAUGCCAGGUGUAGGGGGUAUCGACCCCUUCUGUGCCGCAGUCAACACAAUAAGCAUUCCGCCUGGGGAGUACGGCCGCAAGGUUGAAACUCAAAUGAAUUGACGGGG